CACUCGGCUCCCCUGCCCGCCCGCUCAGGCUGCAGUUCCCCCAACUCUGGCAGCAUCGCCCUGCCCCCCCGGAACCCACAGGAUUUCCCAUUCCCAAAUCAUGGUCAGAUGGAGGAGGAGGCCGUGAGGAAGAUGGCCCAGAAGCCCUAUGCAGACAAGGAGCUGAGGAUGGAGACCAGGGAGGACAAAUCCCCACAGCUGAACCUUAUGGAAAAGGCAUUUUAAACCAGCUCCAUGGUGCAGGAAUCCAAGGAGGAGGAAAAGCCCCAGAGAUCCCUCAUGAGGGG